AUGCCAUUGCAGGAGAACUAUGAACAGAUGAAAGGACUUGUUAAUCAACUGAAAUCUACAGUAUCGCAGAUUGCACAGGGUGGAGGAGAGAGGAGUAUAGCGCGACAUGUUUCACAAGGAAAGAUGCUCGUCAGAGAGCGAAUAACAAAUCUUUUAGACCCAGGAUCUCCAUUCAUGGAACUUUCUCAGUUAGCUGGCCAUGAGUUGUAUGGUGAAGAAGAGGUACCAGCAGGCGGCAUUGUUACUGGUAUUGGUAGAAUAUCAGGGACAGAGUGUAUGAUUGUUGCUAAUGAUGCUACUGUGAAAGCUGGUACCUACUACCCGAUCACUGUGAAGAAACAUCUCAGAGCUCAGGAAAUUGCCAAGGAAAAUAAUUUGCCCUGCAUCUAUCUUGUGGACUCGGGUGGGGCUAAUCUUCCGAGACAGGAUGAAGUGUUUCCAGGGAAAGAACACUUUGGUAGAAUCUUCUUUAACCAAGCCACUAUGUCUGCUGCAAGAAUACCACAGAUUGCGAUAGUUCUCGGUAGCUGUACUGCAGGUGGAGCAUAUGUUCCAGCCAUGGCAGAUGAGAGCAUCAUUGUCAGAAAACAGGGAACAAUCUUUCUAGCUGGACCUCCUCUUGUGCAUGCUGCAACAGGCGAGAUGGUAUCCGCUGAAGAUCUAGGGGGAGCCGAUCUCCAUUGCAGGUCAUCAGGUGUUACAGACCAUUACGCCAAUGAUGAGAAUCAUGCACUCUAUCUUGCCAGGAGAGCUGUGGCAAAUUUGAACAGAAAAAAAGAAGUCAAUAUACCAGUGUUGAAGCCUAAGGAGCCCCUGUACUCCGCAGAUGAAUUGUAUGGCAUUGCAUCGGUGGAUUUCAGUAAGGUUUACGACAUCAGGGAAGUGAUUGCAAGAAUUGUAGAUGAGAGUGUCUUUGAUGAGUUUAAGCAGCAGUAUGGAGACACCAUAGUGACAGGUUUUGCUCACAUCCACGGCUACCCUGUUGGUAUUCUUGGUAAUAAUGGAGUUCUGUAUUCAUCAAGUGCCCUCAAAGCAACGCAUUUCAUUGAGCUGUGCUGUCAGAGAAAGAUCCCUCUUCUCUUCCUCCAAAAUAUCACAGGUUUUAUGGUUGGCAGAGAAGCAGAAGCCGGGGGUAUAGCUAAGAACGGAGCUAAGAUGGUUACAGCGGUAGCUUGUGCUAAGGUGCCUAAGAUCACAGUCAUUGUUGGGGGCUCCUUUGGGGCAGGAAACUAUGGCAUGUGCGGCAGAGCUUACAGUCCACGUUUCCUGUACAUGUGGCCUAAUGCUAGGAUCUCAGUGAUGGGAGGUAAACAAGCUGCCCUUGUUUUGUCUCAAGUCAUGGCUGCACAGAGGAAGAGAGAAGGUUUAGAGCUUAGUAAAGAAGAGGAGGAAGCAAUUAUGGCUCCAAUCUUAGAGAAGUAUGAGAAGGAAGGAAGCCCCUACUAUUCAAGUGCGAGGUUAUGGGAUGAUGGUGUCAUAGAUCCAGCUGAUACGAGGAAGGUCCUGGCCCUGAGUCUUAGUGCUGCACUCAAUGCUAAAGUACCAGAAACGCCAUUUGGUGUAUUCAGAAUGUAGAUCCUCAUUUAUAUUAUCAAUACCACAUGGGAAAGAUCUUCUUGGGGUUUUUUUUUUUUUUAUUCCAGUUGAUGUACACUGUAUAGUGCGCAUGAGGCCCGAGUUCAUCAUGUUGGAGUAUCGGAUUCCAAUCAACGAAAUGCCAUCUAAAUCCAGAAUUGAUUACUGUGACUCUACCUGAGCUUUACAUGGUGAUGGAUCAAUAUCGAAUGCCUCGUAUUCUGUUGUCAUUUUUGUUACUGGCUGUUUAGUAAUGGUUUCCUGAUGUAACAACUUGUCAUUACAUCACAUCAAGUAAGCAACAACAUGUGAACUUUAUAACUAGAAUAGCAGGGUGAUCCAAAAUAAUCCUUAUUUUCAAGUUGAGCAUGUUAACUUCCAAAUUGCAUGUGAAGAGUGUGCAUCACUAAAGUGCAAUGAAAUUGAAUUAUAUUUGCAAAUUUGGAACAAAUAGCACUGCAGCAUAUAUAUAUUUUUGUAUAUAUGAUUAGACAUGUUCAUGUUUUCAUGUUAUAAGGAGCUGUCACUGUGAUGAUUUAUUAGCCUCCUUUUGGGGGAGCAAAACUAAGUGAUCCUCCUCAUACGUCCAGCUUCCAUUAUUCUCCGUCGGAUAAAAAGAAGUUUUGCAAAUCCUUUGAAACUGUGGUUGAUUUUUCAUGGGAGAUCAACAUGUGUUUGUUUGGAUGGUGAAGAUCAACUACAGAUUUCAAUUUAUUUUUGACCAGAUUAGUCUAGUACAUGUGGUAUUAGGCUAUCUGAGAAGCAGAGCAACUACUUGUAGCCAAGUUUAAUAUAAAAAAAAUUCACAUAAAUGUGAUCACAUAAGUGAAUAGAAAUGUUAGAAAUAUUAGAAAUGUUGACAUUUCAGCAUGAGAAAGUAAACAGUGCUGCUGUUACAUUGCGUUGCACGAUUAAGGUGAGACCACCAAGAGCUUUACAUUUGUUUCAUGAAAUGAAAGUAAUCCAUAUUUGUAUGUCAUAUUCAUGUUGAUUUUUUUUUUUGUAAUUUAAUACAUGCGAGCAAGUUGUAACCUUGUUAUGAUAUCACACAUACGCGUUAAUCCUGAGAGAUCGGUCGACCACAGUGUACUGUACACCAUGCAUCAAUCACACUGUCUCUCUUUUAAAGUGAUUACAGGGUGCUACAUAAGCACUUGCCCGAUUGCCCGGGGCAAGUAAAAGUUAGAGUCCGGCAAGUGUUUUGAAGUAAAGACCAAAACUACUUGCCCGAAUUGGGCAAGCAAAAUUCUCACAGUAGAAUGACCAAAAUUAGGGUAGAUAUGAUAUGAUAUUGACACUAAUUAUGGUCAUGGCAGGCAAGAUAAAAUAAGGUAGAUCAGUUCAUGUCAAAAGAGAGAAAAAGGUCAAUGGUUUAUAAACCCACAAAACUUUCUUUGGAAGAGGUAAAACUUCUUUUUUCAAGAAUUUUUUCAGGCAAGUGAAAAAGAUUUUUGGGAAAGUAUAUUCCCACUAUUUGAAAAUUUACUUGCCCAACUGGGCAAGUGCUUCUAAAAAGUUAUGUAACACCCUGGAUUACAAACCACAUUUAAACAUGACAGUUUUCCACUUGAAGUUCCACUGAUCAAUCUCAAUUCUUCCAGUGCUUGAGAUUCACACUUCUUUCAUUGUUCAAUUAUGACUUUUGGCCCAUGCUAUCUUGAAUGUCUUUGGAAAAAGUGGUCGACCCACAAGCCUCUCAUAAUAAUGAAUGUUAUAUUGGUAAUGCAUGUAUUAUGAAACAUACAAAUUUGGAUCUCUUUCAUACUGUCUUUAAAUGUAAUUCCAGCUAUGGUAUCUUAAAAUGAGAAAGGAAAAAAAUCCAAUAAAAAACAUUCUUCCUAGUGUUUGUAUUUAUAACUUUACGGUAUAUCACAUGGUCAUGGUAGAUGUAAUUGCUGAGAAAUUAGCAAUAUAAACAUGACAUUCCUGUAUGGUUCUUUUUUUUUUCAAGCAAUAAUAAUGCAUGUAUUCACAUUUGCUUUCAAUCUUUGUUGCCAAUCUAAGUGUGCUCGCUUUUCAGAAUAGAUUAAUCGAUUUUUUCACAAAGUUUAUUUUGCGUAACUUUACUAGUUCAAGGUCUACGGUGAUAUUGUAACAAUGGAGCCAACGUUUAAAGACUUAUCAUGAAAUUAAUGCUUGCUGCAGCCUAUUGACAUUGAUACAUCCAUUUUGAUUAAUUUCAUUUGUACCAAGAUUAUGUUAAAAAUGUAAAAUGUUAAUGUAUUCAGAUGUUGUUUAUUUCAAUUGUAAAUAUUAUUGGAUUAAUAAACCAUUGCUGCAUCUAAUUGGAUCUUGCUUUUAAGUAGCAUAAAUCAUAUCUCAUUGCUGAGAUACAAGACAAAAAAACUGCAGAAUCACAGCACUGAUGGUAUUGAAGUUAGAAGGUGUGUAAUCUCCAUGAAAUAGCUCAUUCUUAAGAUAUUAAUCUCCCAACCAUUUGAUGGAUCAAAUUCAAACUUUAGCUAUAGAUUCAUAUGGAACUAGCGAUGAUAUGAUUACAUUUCAUAUCUGGGAAUGUUUCACAAAGAUUCAAGUGUGACGUUAAUAAAGUGAUGCCUAUUAAAGUUCCAAUGCAGAUCUAACCCAUAACCUCAUUCAUUAAAGGGGAAUCCAACCCAAAUAAAAACUUAUUUUAAUAAGAAAGAGAAAAAUCAGAAAAGUUGAUAGGUUAAAGUUUGAACAAUAUUGGACAAACAACAAGAAAGUUAUGAAUUUUUAAAAGUUGUAAAUAUUGGUAAUCACUAUACCCAUGGAGACUUCAAAUUGGCCGCAUAUGGGGUGUCAUAGUGAUGUAAGGCAAGGACUACUCUUCCAUGUACUCCAAUACAUAUUAUGGCUAAAAUGUCAUUUUUCCCAAAAGUUUUAUUUCAAAUUAUAUUUUUCUUUCAUGAGGACAUAAAACAAUAUACUACCUGGGUUAUAUUUAGAUUACUGCCCCAGGGGAAUGGGUACUUAGGAGAAAACCACAAAUCCCUGAUAAUAAAGUACAUGGCCUAUGGAAAAGUUGUCCUUGCCCCUUGUCAUCAUUUACUUACCCAGUUGCCAAUUUGAAAUCUACAUACUAUUAGUGAUCUCAAUUUUAAAGCAGCUAUAACUUUCUUAUUGCUUGUCCGAUUUCUUUCAAACUUUCACCAUUCUAUUUAAUUUAUUUUUCUCCUUCCCAACACAACAUUUUAUGGCCAAGGCUGGAUUCCCCUUUAAUGAAUGGGAUCUGAACAAUGCAGUGAUAGAUCAAUAAUAAUAAUAUUAACGGUAGCCACUUCAGUUCCAAAAACUGCUCUCCCAGCCUCCCCUGCUAUUAUUAUUAUAAUUAUAUGUAUACCACAUGCAACUGGGAAUUUUAGUGUGAUUUUUUUUUUAGUCAUACCCCCCGUCACAGGUUAUGCUGGCCAUUGAUUAUCUAGGUAGUUCCACAAUCAUUAGAGUGGACACAGUGCCCAAGCAUUUAACUCUUUGCACACUGAAUUAAUUUUGGGGAGAUAAUAAUGACAAAUGUUUCCAUGUUAUUUUCAUUAAUUCAAGAUUUCCAUACUGCGCAAUUGAUACUUUUUAUUAUUGUAUAGAUGUUAUCCAAGAACUAUUGCCUUUUGUUAGCUUAUCUAAUGUGAAGGUAGGGGAGAAAAUUGAUUAUUAGUACGAUUUCGGAAUUUAAUUGUACAAAUGUGCAAGAUUGCAACAUCAGUGUGCAAAGGGUUUAAGGAACUGUGGUCAUCCAAAUAACAUUAUGACCUGGGUUCUGUAACACAUAGGGUAGUGAUUUAAUUGUACGCUUGAUUUUCAUGAUUACUUAUACAUUGUAGUCAAUGCAGUCAAUCAU